rnacentral:sRNA from 1 species
UCUGCCUCUAGGCACAGUAAGAGAGAGAACCUCCAGGUUGUCCAGAAGCCCGGCCAAAUGCGCUAUUCUCCUCACCUGCCUGGUCCGACAGCUGAGAUCUGGCCUGCUUGUCAUAUUACUGUCUCUUUUCCCAACAGGUCUCUGAGAUCUGGCAUGCAUAUUUGAACAAUCACUAUCAAGUCCUCUCACAGGUUCACACCCAACAAAUGGAUUUACUGGGCAAAUUAUUUGAGAAUGACACUGGCUUGGAUGAAGCCCAGGAAGCAGAAGCCAUUCGCAUCCUGACUUCAAUCUUGAACAUUCGAGAAUCUACAUCUGACAAAGCUCCCCAAAAAACCAUCUUUGUUCUGAAGAUCCUGGUCAUGCUUUACUACCUAAUGAUGAAUUCUUCAAAGGCAAGUUUCCCUAAAAAAGCAACACGUUUAAAAUGAAGGUAGAAAUUCAUCUAGUUGAACUCAUUUGUGUUUUGCCAAAUUCCAAUAGCUUUUGCCCUCAGAGCAAGCCCUCACUCCAAAGAGGUUCAGAUGCUCACGACGUUUCUCCUGUGUUGAGUCUAGCCUGCAUAAUGGAAACUGGAUUGUCUUCUUCCCCCGAGGGUUCCCAGUCUUGCAUAGAUAAAGGGAGUCUGGGGCAGUGCUGGGAAGCCUGCAGGGCAGGAAGGCUCUGGGGAGCCUU